UCGGUCGGACCGAUCCAAUCGGAA
rnacentral:miRNA from 1 species